rnacentral:rRNA from 1 species
CUACGGGAGGCUGCAGUGGGGAAUAUUGGACAAUGGGGGAAACCCUGAUCCAGCAAUGCCGCGUGUGUGAAGAAGGCCUGCGGGUUGUAAAGCACUUUCGGUUGGGAGGACUGCUUCUAGCACUAAUAUUGUUGGAAGUUGACGUUACCUUCAGAAGAAGCACCGGCUAACUCCGUGCCAGCAGCCGCGGUAAUACGGAGGGGUGCAAGCGCUAAUCGGAAUUACUGGGCGUAAAGCGCGCGUAGGCGGCUAGAUCAGUCGGGUGUGAAAGCCCCGGGCUUAACCGGGGAACUGCAUCCGAUACUGUCUAGCUUGAGUACAGGAGAGGAGAGUGGAAUUCCACAUGUAGCGGUGAAAUGCGUAGAUAUGUGGAGGAACACCAAUGGCGAAGGCAGCUCUCUGGCCUGAUACUGACGCUGAGGUGCGAAAGCGUGGGGAGCAAACAGGAUUAGAUACCCCUGUAGUC